UAGAAGGUACUGAUAGAGUUAAGUGCAAACUUUGUAACGAAACUUUUAAACAUUUGACUGGAGGAUAUUUUGAAAUAAUAGAAGGUACUGAUAGAGUUAAGUGCAAACUUUGUAGUGAAAUUUUAAACAUUUGACCGGCGGAAAUUUAGGGGGGACUGUGACACGUAGUAGACAUAUGAGAUCUUACUAUCCUACAGAAUGGGGCAAUAAUGGGGAUGGAAGUCAAAGAACUAUUAGCCCUACUACUGGAGGUUCAGUAAAAUAUGAUAAAAUGAGGGAUCGUGAGGAAUUAGCAAAAAAUGCUUUGGGUUGUCUAUU
rnacentral:lncRNA from 1 species